rnacentral:rRNA from 1 species
UACAGAGGUCCCAAGCGUUGUUCGGAUUCACUGGGCGUAAAGGGUGCGUAGGUGGCUACUUUAAGUUUGAUGUGAAAGCUCCGGGCUCAACCCGGAAAUGGCAUUGAAGACUAUUGAGCUAGAGGUUUGGAGGGGGGACUGGAAUGCUUGGUGUAGCAGUGAAAUGCGUAGAUAUCAAGCGGAACACCGGUGGCGAAGGCGGGUCUCUGGGCCGAAACUGACGCUGAGGAGCGAAAGCGUGGGGAGCAAACAGG